AGCAAGUUUUUCAAUAAAGACACAAGAACAUUUGAUCUACUGAGUCCUACUUUAAAUAUGUCCUUUAAAGGCCUUAUUUCUUUCCUGCCAUGCAGAUUUAUAUAUUAGUAUGCAUGCUCUGACAGUACCUC